rnacentral:rRNA from 1 species
UACGUAGGGGGCAAGCGUUGUCCGGAAUCAUUGGGCGUAAAGAGCGCGUAGGCGGUCCGGUAAGUCCGCUCUGAAAGUCCGGGGCUCAACCCCGGGAGGCGGGCGGAUACUGUCGGGCUAGAGUCCGGAAGAGGCGAGUGGAAUUCCUGGUGUAGCGGUGAAAUGCGCAGAUAUCGGGAGGAACACCGGUGGCGAAGGCGGUUCUCUGGGCCUUACCUGACGCUGAGGAGCGAAAGCGUGGGGAGCGAACAGG